UACGAAGGGGGCUAGCGUUGCUCGGAAUUACUGGGCGUAAAGCGCACGUAGGCGGAUUGUUAAGUCGGGGGUGAAAUCCUGGAGCUCAACUCCAGAACUGCCUUCGAUACUGGCGAUCUCGAGUCCGGGAGAGAUGAGUGGAACUGCGAGUGUAGAGGUGAAAUUCGUAGAUAUUCGCAAGAACACCAGUGGCGAAGGCGGCUCACUGGCCCGGUACUGACGCUGAGGUGCGAAAGCGUGGGGAGCAAACAGG
rnacentral:rRNA from 1 species